GCCUGGGUGGCUCAGUCGGUUAAGCUUCUGACUUUGGCUCAGGUCAUGAUCUCGCGGUCUGUGGGUUCGAGCCCCGCGUCGGGCU
rnacentral:tRNA from 1 species